UACGGGGGGAGCAAGCGUUGUUCGGAUUUACUGGGCGUAAAGGGCGCGUAGGCGGCCUCUGCAAGUCGACUGUGAAAUCUCCGGGCUUAACCCGGAACGGUCAGCCGAUACUGCAGGGCUAGAGUGCAGAAGGGGCAACCGGAAUUCUCGGUGUAGCGGUGAAAUGCGUAGAUAUCGAGAGGAACACCUGCGGCGAAGGCGGGUUGCUGGGCUGACACUGACGCUGAGGCGCGAAAGCUAGGGGAGCGAACAGG
rnacentral:rRNA from 1 species